CUUGCCAUGGCAGCGCUCGGGGUUUAACGGAAGUAAGCAAUGGAAAAUCUUUCAAGACUCUAGUCAAAAUGAGCAGAACAUUUUGCAGUUAAUCAUAGAGUUGAAGAUGAACGAGAAGAUGAACGAGAGCUACUUGAUUGUGAACUAGUAACGACCACUUGGAGUCGCAGUGUGUCUGUAAAAUGAUGAUGACAGUGACAUCAUAGAGGACAUAGUGCAAGUGAACAGUUUGAUACUGAGCUUGGAGCCUCAGUAGUUCUGGAUAAGUGAGAGCUGUACGGGAGGUUGUAACCAUGAGCUACCCUGGUUGGCAGUUGACAUCCGAGGACCAGCACUGGUCAUCGCACAGAAAGAAAACUUUACACCUUGAGAUCCCUCCAUUCUUCUUAAACUUCCAAGUGUAUGUUUGAUGGGAGAAGAGGGGAAGGGAUCAACAUUUAAAGGCUCUGGAAGGAGUCAGAUAACUGUUUUUGGCUUCAAAUGUAGAAUGAAUCCCUAGAUUUUCCUCUACUGAGAGAAUGAAAUCUUAACCCAUUCCGUUCCCUUGUUGGUACUCAGAAACGGAUACCCCAAAGAUGCAUUUUGACAUGCUGAAAGGCCUUAGAAGCUGCCUUAGAAGAUCUGUCUAACCUUGUCUUGUUGGUGUGUGGAAGUGGGAAUGCCCACAGGUGCACAGGGAGGGAGUUUCUGAAAUUAUCUGACCGAGAAAGCAAAAAAAAAAAAUCAAUUGUCUUAAACCCGG
rnacentral:lncRNA from 10 species